UACAGAGGGUGCAAGCGUUGUUCGGAAUUAUUGGGCGUAAAGCGCGUGUAGGCGGCUUUGCAAGUCGGGUGUGAAAGCCCUCAGCUCAACUGAGGAAGUGCGCCCGAAACUGCAGAGCUUGAGUACCGGAGAGGAUGGCGGAAUUCCCCCAAGUAGAGGUGAAAUUCGUAGAUAUGGGGGAGGAACACCGGUGGCGAAGGCGGCGCUCUGGACCGAGACUGACGCUGAGGCGCGAAAAGCGUGGGGAGCAAACAGG
rnacentral:rRNA from 1 species